GAAGCGGGAGAAGCUGGGCACCCGGAACUGGGAGGGGGGUGAAGAAGCCGGUGGCCGGAGGGCUGCGACGCGCGGUUACCCAACGGGGUAGGCUCCGGAUGGAGAGAGAGCUAGCACAGGAUGGGAAGGAGGGAGUACUGGACCAGGUGGAAAGACCGUCAGGUGCUCCGGGUGCCAGCAGGUGGGAGUACUGAGGCGCUUCAGGCUGCUCUUUCAUCUCGGUUGCCGAUUCAGUUUGGCCUCGAGCCGUUCCCCUAGCUAGCCAAUGCCCCUUUUCCCAACAUUGGAGGCCAGCAGCUCUCCAGGAGCCGACGCCCUGUCCCAUGGAGGCUUAGGGGAAUAAGGGUGAUCCCAGAAUAAAGUCGAAUGUAAUAAAAUGUUGGGGUCCAAUUGACUGCAAUCCCGAACACUCUGCCCAAGAGCUUGGGGGUACCCUUGCCCCGCCCCCCAGCAUCGCUCUUCUCUCCUUUGUCUUUGUGGAGGGUCACCGGUUCCCUUUCACUGAGGCGGCAGCAUCCUGGGGUGGAGAGACCCCUAUAGUCCCUUGAGCUCUGCCUCACCCUCUCCAAUAGUCCACUCUCAGGCCUUACCAAAGACCCCCUCCACCCAUCUAGUUGGCUUUUGUUCCUAGAAAAUGAUGGAGUGGGUGUGGCUGGCCCUGCAGCGUGGACUAUCCUGCGGGCAGAAUAAGGGUGGGGUCCCAGAGGCGGGGCUGUCGGAGGAACAAAGAGCUCACAAAAGCUUGGGAUGUGUUCCGCAAUAGAGCAUUUACAAUCACACUCCAGGCUCUCCCCUUCUCGGGAUUUGGUUCAUCCAUUGUCAAAUAAGGGGAUGGGUUCCAAGGGCAGUCAUCGUCCGGUCCACCGAGAACAUUCUUAUUUUCCAUCGCGGCGGCCAGGAGUUCCCAGACUUGCUGCUGCGGGUAGAGGGACGAGGGACACGCCUAAAUAUUGCAGCAAGGCAAGGUAGAGACCACCGGAGACCCAGGUGCAUUCACCGGGGCGCGUGCGCAGACGCGGAGCACCGAAGGUCCCUUCAAAUCCACACUCUCUAGGCCUUCCCUCCGGAUGAGAAAUGACAGCUCGGGGCACAGCUGCCCGCGUGCUCUUUAGUCAAAAGGUUUACAUGGGUGGGAGCUAGCUUCAGAGCCCUCGUCCUUCCGUAGUCGUGGGGCGUUGUUGGGACCAACCACUCAGGUCACCAUGGAUUCCAGGAAGAGAAUCUGAUCCCAUAAGUAUCUAGUGAUGACUCAAAGCUCCUGGCAACAGCAACUUUCUUACCCAGGGUGAUUCCCCACCUGACCAGUCCUGAGAUGAUGAUGGACAUGCCACACCUGAUCAAGAUCAUCUGCAAGGGCAGCUGGGAAAAGCCUACAGCUGUGCAAACCUCCAACACUUGCUCUCAUUCCCCUUUCUGUAAAACUUCAAAUCAUUCAUUGUUAGCCCCUUAAAGACAGGGCUAAGAACUUGGGUCCUCUUGAUUCUCAGUUGUGGUUACACGGAUUGAAGUUUCUUUCAAGCUUUUCA